GACGAACGCUGGCGGCGUGCUUAACACAUGCAAGUCGAGCGAUGAAACACCUUCGGGUGUGAAUUAGCGGCGAACGGGUGAGGAACACGUGAGAAAUCUGCCUUCAACACUGGGAUAACUCCGGGAAACCGGGGCUAAUACCGGAUAUGAAAUCUGCGGGCAUCCGCGGAUUUGGAAAGUUUUUCGGUUGAAGAUGAUCUCGCGGCCUAUCAGCUUGUUGGUGAGGUAAUGGCUCACCAAGGCGACGACGGGUAGCCGGCCUGAGAGGGCGACCGGCCACACUGGGACUGAGACACGGCCCAGACUCCUACGGGAGGCAGCAGUGGGGAAUAUUGGGCAAUGGAGGAAACUCUGACCCAGCGACGCCGCGUGCGGGAUGAAGGCCUUCGGGUUGUAAACCGCUUUCAGCAGGGAAGAAGCGAAAGUGACGGUACCUGCAGAAGAAGCACCGGCUAACUAUGUGCCAGCAGCCGCGGUAAUACAUAGGGUGCAAGCGUUGUCCGGAAUUAUUGGGCGUAAAGAGCUCGUAGGUGGUUCGUCACGUCGGAUGUGAAACUCUGGGGCUUAACCCCUGACCUGCAUCCGAUACGGUCGAGCUAGAGUUUGGUAGGGGAGACUGGAAUUCCUGGUGUAGCGGUGGAAUGCGCAGAUAUCAGGAGGAACACCGAUGGCGAAGGCAGGUCUCUGGGCCAAUAUUGACACUGAGGAGCGAAAGCGUGGGGGGCGAACAGGAUUAGAUACCCUGGUAGUCCACGCCGUAAACGGUGGGCGCUAGUUGUGCGAACCUUCCACGGUUUGUGCGACGCAGCUAACGCAUUAAGCGCCCCGCCUGGGGAGUACGAUCGCAAGAUUA
rnacentral:rRNA from 1 species